UACGAAGGGAGCUAGCGUUGUUCGGAAUCACUGGGCGUAAAGCGCACGUAGGCGGAUUUGCCAGUCAGGGGUGAAAUCCCGGGGCUCAACCUCGGAACUGCCUUUGAUACAGCAAGCCUUGAGUUCGAGAGAGGUGGGUGGAAUUCCUAGUGUAGAGGUGAAAUUCGUAGAUAUUAGGAAGAACACCGGUGGCGAAGGCGGCCCACUGGCUCGACACUGACGCUGAGGUGCGAAAGCGUGGGGAGCAAACAGG
rnacentral:rRNA from 1 species